CCCUGCCCGGGGCUCCUGGGUAAAUGUCCCAGAGCCUCAGUCCCUGCCCAGUCCUGUUUGGCCCCUUUCUGUCUGACUCACCCCAUAGCGGGAUGGCUGCUCUCCUGCUCUUCCUCCCGCUGCUCCUUGCUCCCACAGGUGCCUUCGCAGAGGUGACACUACUCCAGUCUGGCACAGAUGUGGUGCGGCCUGGGGAGACCCUCACCCUGCAAUGCACUGUCUCUGGUGUGUCCCUGACUGACAACAGCUAUGUUUGGUUCUGGGCCCGGCUGGGACCUGGGAAGGGGCUAAAUGAGAUUGAAUGGAUUGGAGCAUAUUCACCGGCGGUGGGAAAAGCACUCCCCGACCCAUUGUUCGAGAACCGAACUAAGAUCUCUGCAGACGCCUCCCAGAACCAGCUCUCCCUGCAGAUGCACUCCCUGACAGCUGCAGACACCGCCACGUAUUACUGUGCCAGAGCCAGCACACAGUGA